CUACGGGCGGCAGCAGUGGGGAAUUUUGGACAAUGGGCGCAAGCCUGAUCCAGCCAUGCCGCGUGUGUGAAGAAGGCCUUCGGGUUGUAAAGCACUUUCGGACGGAACGAAAUCGCACGGGUGAAUACCUCGUGUGGAUGACGGUACCGUAAGAAGAAGCACCGGCUAACUACGUGCCAGCAGCCGCGGUAAUACGUAGGGUGCGAGCGUUAAUCGGAAUUACUGGGCGUAAAGCGUGCGCAGGUGGCUACGCAAGUCAGGCGUGAAAUCCCCGGGCUUAACUUGGGAAUUGCGCUUGAAACUACGAAGCUGGAGUGCGGCAGAGGAAGGUGGAAUUCCACGUGUAGCGGUGAAAUGCGUAGAGAUGUGGAGGAACACCAAUGGCGAAGGCAGCCUUCUGGGUCGACACUGACGCUCAUGCACGAAAGCGUGGGGAGCAAACAGGAUUAGAUACCCCCGUAGUC
rnacentral:rRNA from 1 species